CUAGCUUCAGCGAUGGAUCGGUCGAUUCGCGUAUCGAUGAAAAACGCAGCAAGCUGCGUUAUUUACCACGAAUUGCAGAUACUUAGAGUGGUAAAAUUUUGAACGCAUAGCGCCGUUGGGUUUUCCCUUCGGCACGUCUGGUUCAGGGUUGUU
rnacentral:rRNA from 1 species